rnacentral:misc_RNA from 1 species
GAACCAAACAGAGUUUGGGCCUGUUCCUCAGGCAGUCCCGGGGCAGAACAUGCCAUUGACCGAGAAUAACAAGGGGGAUAACGUGCCUCACAUGCCAGACAAGGAACGGUACAACAGGGAGGAUUUUCCCGAGAAUUACCCAAAUGCAAAAUUUUUUGUUAUUAAGUCAUACAGUGAGGAUGAUGUUCAUAAAAGCAUCAAGUAUGGUGUGUGGGCAAGCACACCUAAUGGAAAUAAGAAGCUAGAUGCAGCUUACCAUGAGGCCAAGGAAAUUCCUGGUGGCUGCCCUGUAUUUCUACUAUUUUCUGUCAACACCAGUGGGCAAUUUGUUGGUUUGGCUGAGAUGGUGGGGGCUGUUGAUUUUAACAAAACAAUGGAGUAUUGGCAACAGGAGAAGUGGAUUGGUUGCUUCCCUGUCAAGUGGCAUAUUGUUAAGGAUGUAGCAAAUAGUUCCUUGAGGCAUAUAACACUUGAGAACAAUGAGAACAAGCCUGUCACUAAUAGUAGGGAUACACAAGAGGUUAUCUUGGAGAAAGGUAUUCAGAUACUUAAAAUUUUUAAGGGUCAUAGAAGCAAGACUUCCAUACUGGAUGAUUUUGGGUUUUAUGCGGCUCGCGAAAGGAUUAUGCUGGAGAAAAGGGCUAAGCAAAAAAUUCAAAAACAGGUUUUUGACAGGAAGCCUGGCAAUGAUUUGGCUACUAAUUUAGAGAAACUUGAAAUGGUGGGGAAAGAGAGUUCAGAAAAAUCCAUCAACAGUGUAUUGAAGGAACCAGUUGGUGCAGUAGCAGUUGAACUGGGGAAGAUGAAUGGGGAGGUAAAGCUGCUAGAAGAGAAUAGAUCAGAUGCAGCAGUUGAAAACUCCCCUAACAAUAACAAGUCCGUUGGGGCAUCUGAAAACAAAGUUGAUCCUAAUGUGGUUGCAAGUGCCUGCUAAUUUUUAGGCGUUUACCACUUCAUUUUGGGAUAGGAUGUUAGGGCAGAGUUGAGGUGAUGGGUUUCAUGACACUGUUAGUGAAUUUGCUAAUUACUAUCAGUACUCACAUAGGUUAGCUUUACCUUUUUUAGAUGGACUCAUGCUUUGUGGAUCAGAAAGACCUGUGUUCUUUUAUAGCUUGGUGAGACAGACUGGCUUCUCAGGACCUUUAAAGAUAAUGUUUUUCUCUCCUUUUGGUGGGAAAUUUUGAGUAAUUCUCUCAUAAUUGUUACUUUAUGCCCUUCUUUUUUUUA